GUAGGGAAUAUUGGGCAAUGGAUGCAAGUCUGACCCAGCCAUCCCGCGUGCCGGAAGAAGGCCCUCAGGGUUGUAAACGGCUUUUGACGGUGAAGAAUCGACAGGAUGCGUCCUGUUUUGACGGUAGCCGUUGAAUAAGCACCGGCUAACUCCGUGCCAGCAGCCGCGGUAAUACGGAGGGUGCGAGCGUUGUCCGGAUUUAUUGGGUUUAAAGGGUGCGUAGGCUGGAAGGUCAGUCAGCGGUGAAAAGCUGUCGCUUAACGAUAGUCUUGCCGCAGAUACUUCCUUUCUUGGAUGAGGAGGAGGCCACUGGAACGGAUGGUGUAGCGGUGAAAUGCAUAGAUAUCAUCCAGAACACCGAUUGCGAAGGCGGGUGGCUGUACCUUAAUCGACGCUGAUGCACGAAAGCAUGGGGAGCAAACAGGAUUAGAUACCCCUGUAGUCC
rnacentral:rRNA from 1 species